GUGCACUGUUCGUAACCUGUUUCAGUUCUGCAGUCUGAAAUCCGGGUUCCAUUCCAGUGCUAGAGGAACGUUCGGUAAGGCAGGGGAGUGCGGCUCGUCUGUGCAUAACUCCCUGUUCACUCACUGACGACAGAU
ensembl:snoRNA Small nucleolar RNA SNORA54